CAUAAACACAAGGAGGUUCCAUGGGCUCCAACAUGGAGAGAAAGCUCCUGGGAGCUGAAAUAUAUUCAGAUUCUCGACUUGCUGCAGAAACCUAGCAGAGAGACAACAAGGUAUGACCCUCGAUGCCAGAGCUGGAGAGAAGCCAAGACCCAGGGUCUCUUUGAGCUGAGGGAGGAAGACCAAGGAGGGAGAAGUGGUUAGUUCAGGUUUAUGAAAUGUGUUCUGCCAAGCGCUCCUGCCUCCCACCUCCGCCUGUGGCUGCAGCUGAUGUUGAAGCAUCUCCCUAUCUAUACACCAGGGCUGCAGGCAACAUCUCCAUUUCCUUUGGGGAAGACCUCCUUUGAAUUUGGGGACUAGCCUGAGGUGUGCCGAAGCAGGCUCCUGCCGGUGGAGAGACCCGAUGGAGAUCGAUCAAUCAUGUGCCUCUCCUCUCCACUUCAUGCUCAGUAAUAUUGUGUUGAGCACCCACUGACAGCAUGCCACUGGAAAUACCCCUUUAAAAAAAUCUCUCAGAGGAAUCAGCAGCCUGUGCAAUUAGAAUCUUCUCCAUGCCACUCCCCACCUCUCUGAAAGCUCCAGUGCUAAGUGGGAGCAAAACAAUUGUGAAUUACACAACCUCUUUGGAAGGGCCCCUUUUCUUUUCAGUCCUCAUCGAUCGCCAUUCCCUUAUUAGGAUUAUCUGGUAGACUCCACCGGCUGCAGAAUUACAGUCCGCCUGC